rnacentral:lncRNA from 1 species
GUUCUUUCUAAAUCAACCUCCAAAGAUCUAGAAUUUACUCAUUCAUAAGACUAUAAAUCUUCUGUUGGCAAGAGUUCAUUCCCCAGCUUCCAUCCACACUACUGUAUAUUUAAGGGUCAAAUUCAAAGUAGAAGAGCUGAGGCACCCACAGGAACACACAAUCUCAAAGCCUGUGUCUGAAACCUGCCCCUUAUGCUUAUUUAGGAGACAAAGGGGAAUGAUAAGGAAUGGAGCAUCAGCUGCCAUCCACUUGCAAGAAGAGUUUUGCAAGUGCCAGGGAAGGGAAGUGGUCCUUUGUUUCUAAAGUGCUACUGGGAAAAUGAAUUCCUAACAGUUCCUGGACAAUGCAAUGGUUCGGGUUCAGAAGAGCUUCAUUUACACAAAGAUAUGGCCAAAGCCACAUAGAAUAAUCUUGGAGAAUGACACCUUUUCCAUGUCUGUUUAUGAGAUUACAGACCCAAAUGUCUACGGAGACUCGUUUUACUUUCAGAUAGAAACAAAGAACAAAGAAUUAUCUCCCCUCUGUGGGAAAAACAACAGUGCAAGUGCAAAGCAAAAAAGCUGUCACUCGUCUUCAUGGGGGAGGUGGGCAACAGGGCAUGGUGGGGACUGCGGCAGAACAGAGAGCACACACCCCACCUAAAGGAAAUAUCUGUCAUUCAGCUCAACCGGUAGCUGGCAUGCGGGAAGGCAUGAUCAGCAGUUAAAGAUUUUUUUCAGUUUUAAACUGUUGCCUCAAACA